AGAGUUUGAUCCUGGCUCAGGAUGAACGCUGGCGGCGUGCCUAAUACAUGCAAGUCGAACGCUUUGUCUUUAAUUUGAUAUGAAGAGCUUGCUCUGAUUUGAUUUUAUCUGACAAAGAGUGGCGAACGGGUGAGUAACACGUGGGUAACCUACCUCUUAGCAGGGGAUAACAUUUGGAAACAAGUGCUAAUACCGUAUAAUACCAACAACCGCAUGGUUGUUGGUUGAAAGAUGGUUCUGCUAUCACUAAGAGAUGGACCCGCGGUGCAUUAGCUAGUUGGUAAGGUAACGGCUUACCAAGGCAAUGAUGCAUAGCCGAGUUGAGAGACUGAUCGGCCACAAUGGGACUGAGACACGGCCCAUACUCCUACGGGAGGCAGCAGUAGGGAAUCUUCCACAAUGGGCGCAAGCCUGAUGGAGCAACGCCGCGUGUGUGAUGAAGGGUUUCGGCUCGUAAAACACUGUUAUAAGAGAAGAACGGCACUGAGAGUAACUGUUCAGUGUGUGACGGUAUCUUACCAGAAAGGAACGGCUAAAUACGUGCCAGCAGCCGCGGUAAUACGUAUGUUCCAAGCGUUAUCCGGAUUUAUUGGGCGUAAAGCGAGCGCAGACGGUUAUUUAAGUCUGAAGUGAAAGCCCUCAGCUCAACUGAGGAAUGGCUUUGGAAACUGGAUGACUUGAGUGCAGUAGAGGAAAGUGGAACUCCAUGUGUAGCGGUGAAAUGCGUAGAUAUAUGGAAGAACACCAGUGGCGAAGGCGGCUUUCUGGACUGUAACUGACGUUGAGGCUCGAAAGUGUGGGUAGCAAACAGGAUUAGAUACCCUGGUAGUCCACACCGUAAACGAUGAGUGCUAGAUGUUCGAGGGUUUCCGC
rnacentral:rRNA from 1 species